GGGCGGAUGGCGCAACGGUUAGCGCAAAUGUCUUAUACACAUUAGGUUCCUGGUUCGAAUCCAGGUCCGCCCACCA
rnacentral:tRNA from 3 species